GGUGAGGCUUUACAGUGGAGUGAGUGGGAGAGCGAGAACGAGAGAUAAAGCUCUUAGAUUGAAUUGAGAGCGAGAGAGGGGCAGGGCGGAGAAUUGAGAGGAGCAAGCUCACUGCCAACUGUGGUAGCGCAAUAUGGAGUAAUCGCGGCCGUUCGACAACGACGGGAGUAGUUUACAAAGAAAAACGCGCUUUGGAUCGACAUUACAUUAGCAAGGAAUACGAUAACAAUUUCAAUUAUGAGAUUACGGCAUUGCAUAUAGACAAUUGCCUUGAAGAGACUAAAAUAGACGUUGCAAUUUCUAUGUAUUAUUGAAAAAUGGCGAACGAGUCUCCAGCUAAAAGUCUAGUGGACAUAGACCUUGCCUCUUUGCGGGACCCAGCUGGUAUUUUCGAACUGGUGGAAGUGGUCGGCAAUGGUACCUAUGGACAAGUAUACAAGGGACGACAUGUCAAGACAGGACAACUGGCGGCCAUCAAGGUCAUGGACGUCACAGAGGAUGAAGAGGAGGAGAUUAAAUUGGAGAUUAAUAUGCUGAAGAAGUACUCCCACCACAGAAACAUAGCCACCUACUACGGAGCCUUCAUCAAGAAGAGCCCCCCAGGACACGACGACCAGCUAUGGCUGGUGAUGGAGUUCUGUGGCGCAGGCUCCAUCACAGACCUUGUGAAGAACACCAAGGGCAACACACUGAAGGAGGACUGGAUCGCCUACAUCUCUCGUGAGAUCCUCAGGGGGUUGGCUCAUCUGCACGCCCACCAUGUGAUCCACCGUGACAUCAAGGGCCAGAACGUGCUGCUGACUGAGAACGCAGAGGUCAAACUAGUGGACUUCGGUGUGAGCGCCCAGCUGGACCGGACAGUGGGUAGGAGGAACACCUUCAUUGGUACGCCCUAUUGGAUGGCGCCCGAGGUCAUCGCCUGCGACGAGAACCCAGACGCCACCUAUGACUACAGAAGUGACUUGUGGUCCACUGGAAUCACAGCUAUAGAGAUGGCUGAGGGAGCUCCUCCGCUGUGCGAUAUGCAUCCAAUGAGAGCUCUCUUCCUCAUCCCCAGAAACCCUCCUCCUCGACUCAAGUCAAAGAAAUGGUCUAAGAAGUUUUGCAGCUUCAUCGAGGGCUCCCUGGUGAAGAACUACACUCAGCGCCCCCCCACCGACCAGCUGCUGAAACACCCGUUCAUCAGAGACCAGCCCAACGAAAGGCAGGUCCGCAUCCAGCUCAAAGACCACAUCGACCGCACCAAGAAGAAGAGGGGGGAGAAGGAUGAGACCGAGUAUGAGUACAGCGGGAGUGAGGAAGAGGAGGAGGAAGCUCAGGAGCAGGAGGGGGAGCCCAGUUCCAUAGUGAACCAACCAGGGGAGUCAACCCUGCGUAGGGAUUUCAUCCGUCUGCAGCAAGAGAACAAGGAGCGCUCAGAGGCCCUGCGCAGACAGCAGCUCUUGCAGGAGCAGCAGCUCCGGGAGCAGGAGGAGUACAAGCGCCAACUACUGGCAGAGAGGCAGAAACGCAUCGAGCAGCAGAAGGAGCAGAGGAGGAGGCUGGAGGAGCAACAACGUCGUGAGCGGGAGAUGAGGAGGCAGCAGGAGCGCGAGCAGCGUCGCCGGGAGCAGGAUGACAAGAGGCGCAUGGAAGAGGUUGAACGCCGGCGUAAAGAGGAGGAGGAGCGCAGGAGGGCUGAGGAGGAGAAAAGGAGGGCUGACCGGGAGCAGGAGUACAUCCGUCGCCAGCUGGAGGAGGAGCAGAGGCACCUGGAGAUCCUGCAGCAGCAGCUGCUCCAUGAACAGGCCAUGCUACUGGCUGAUGAGAGGUACCGUAAGAACAUCCAAGGUUCUCCUCAGGCCGCCCAGGUUAAGGUUCAGCCCCCGGUUCCUCCCCGCGCCGCCGAGACCAUCGCCAAUGGAAACACCCCCAUUGCUGUCCAGCCUGCCAUGCAAAGGCCCAUGGAACCCCAGGUCCAGUGGUCCCACCUGGCCGCACCCCCCGUCAUCUCACGCUCCCAUUCCUUCAGUGAGCCCAUCGUCCCUAGCUUUGCACACCUCCACCUGUGCUCUCAGGAGCAACACCAUCACCCUGCACCAUCAUCACCCGCACGCACUGACCCGCAGUCCUACCCCCAGCCCAAGGCCCUGCCCCUUGACAAGGCCCCCACAGACGACACCCCGCCCAGGGGCCUAACUAUCAAACAUCACUUCCUCUUCUUUGGUGAGGUUCCUGUGAGGACAACGUCCAGGUCUCCAGUACUGUCACGCAGGGACUCUCCUCUACAUGGCAACUCCAAUGCCACACCUAACAACCCGGCGGGCCAGAGGAACGCCUGCAGUGCUGCAGCAGAGCCGCGUCUGCUUUGGGAGCGGGUGGAGAAACUGGUUCCCAGGCCAACGAGUGGCAGUGGUAGUACUUGCAGCUCCUCCGGCUCCAGUAACUCCAGCUCCCAGCCCAGCUCUCACAGUGGCUCAGGGGAGAGGUUCAGAGCCCGCUCCUCAUCAAAGUCUGAGGGUUCUCCCCUCCAGCAUCCAGAGCAUGCUGGGAAAAAACCUGAGGAGAGGAAGGAGUCUGUCAGAACUAACCGACUGGCGGGGGAAGUGGACCUGACCGCGCUGGCCAAAGAGCUGCGUGUGGUGGAGGACGUGCAACGCCCCCACAAGGUGACAGACUACUCCUCAUCUAGUGAGGAGUCGGGGACCACGGAUGAGGAUGAGGAUGAUGAAGAGGUAGACCAGGAGGGAGGAGAGGAGUCUACCUCAGGACCAGAGGACUCUCACGCUGUCUCCUCCAGACUAAGCAACGGAGAGAUGGAAUCGGUGAAGACCUUGAUCGUUCAUGUCGAGGGCGAGAGUGACUCUAAAACCACACCCUGUAAAGAUGACACUCUGAUCGUCAGACCAAGUACAGGUGACAACAAAAAGCGACCUACCCCCAGCCCUGGUCAUGGCCCUGUCCCUGGGUUUAACACCAGCCCCGGGCUGAUUCGCCCUGCCCUCCAGGGCCUUCCAGGCCUCCAAGGCCACCCUGGUCUCCAAGGGCACCAGGAGAAAAAUGGCUUUGUGGGCCGCAUUCACCUCCUGCCUGACCUGAUCCAGCAGAGCCACCACUCCCCCUCCUCCUCUGCCUCCUCCUCUCCCUCCUCCAGCAUGGCGAGCCCCACCAUGUCCAUGUCCCCCCAGAGCCCCCUGGACAAGCUCAGCAUACUCCUGGAGAGUCAUUCUGUCAGCAACACAAUGCAGAAACACAAGUCCUCCUCCUCCUUCACUCCUUUUAUCGAUCCACGCCUCCUCCAGGUCUCUACAUCCGGCGCAGCUCUCAACAACCUGGCUUUUGGGAACGACGCCAGGCUGGCGGAGGCACUGAGGGCGGACCCGUCACGUAAAGGCUCCGUGGUCAAUGUGAACCCUGUCAACACACGGCCGCAGAGUGACACCCCAGAGAUCCGCAAGUACAAGAAGAGGUUCAACUCUGAGAUCCUGUGUGCUGCGCUCUGGGGAGUGAACCUGCUGGUGGGGACAGAGAGUGGUCUGAUGCUGCUGGAUCGUAGCGGUCAGGGGAAGGUGUAUCCCCUCAUCAGCCGACGCCGCUUCCAACAAAUGGAUGUCCUAGAGGGACUCAACGUCCUGGUUACUAUAUCAGGCAAGAAGAACAAGUUGCGUGUGUACUAUCUGUCCUGGUUGAGGAACAAGAUCCUGCACAACGACCCUGAGGUGGAGAAGAAGCAGGGCUGGGUCACUGUGGGAGACCUGGAGGGUGCUGUUCACUACAAAGUUGUGAAAUACGAGAGGAUCAAGUUUUUGGUUUUGGCCCUGAAGAACUCGGUGGAGGUCUAUGCAUGGGCACCGAAACCCUACCACAAGUUCAUGGCUUUCAAGUCGUUUGGUGACCUGGUGCACAAGCCCCUGCUGGUUGACCUGACGGUGGAGGAGGGUCAGAGGUUAAAGGUAAUCUAUGGCUCCAGUAACGGAUUUCAUGCUGUGGACGUGGACUCGGGGGGCCGUCUACGACAUCUACCUGCCCACCCAUAUCCAGACCAGUAUCCAGUCCCAUGCCAUCAUCAUCCUGCCCAACACAGAUGGCAUUGAGCUGCUGGUGUGUUACGAGGACGAGGGUGUCUAUGUCAACACCUACGGACGCAUCACCAAGGACGUGGUGCUGCAGUGGGGCGAGAUGCCCACUUCUGUGGCCUAUAUCCGUUCUAACCAGAUAAUGGGCUGGGGGGAGAAAGCCAUAGAGAUAAGAUCUGUGGAGACUGGACAUCUCGACGGAGUCUUCAUGCACAAGAGAGCCCAGAGACUCAAGUUCCUGUGUGAGAGGAACGACAAGGUGUUCUUUGCCUCGGUGCGAUCCGGAGGAGCCAGCCAGGUGUACUUUAUGACCCUGGGGCGCACCUCUCUGCUCAGCUGGUAAAGAGACUACAACCCCUCUACACUGGAAACCAACCAACCACGUUUUACCCGACGUUCAACGAUGCCAUCGGUCAAAAGCCAACCACCUCCGACAUAAUCAUGACCUUCGCCCCGGGGCAUCGUGCUAUACUGAGGAUACACAACAUCUUGGUUUUUUUUCUCACCUUUAUUUAACCAGGUAGGCAAGUUGAGAACAAGUUCUCAUUUACAAUUGCGACCUGGUAGAUGACGUCGCCCCAGCCGUGAAUACCAGAUAUGAGAAUUGUAAAAAUAAAAAAUAAAGAAGUUAAUUGAUUAUAAAUCAAAUAAAAAAAUGUGAAGAAAGGGGGUGAACAGUUUGCCCCACUUUGGUGCUCAACAGGUUGUGGACACACGUCUGUGCGGGGCCGUUGCCCUGAAGGCGUGUGUGCGUGUGUGCGUGUGUGUGUGUGUUGGUGUGUCGUUCCGAGUUCCCGACUGUGGUAUGGGCUUGAAGUCUACUACUAACUACUCUGUGCAUCUUCUGCUCGUAUUUCAGGAGUCCCCCUCCCCUUCCUUUCCUUAGCGAAGGAGGGGCAGGGGGCGGAGCAUACAGUGUUAAUGCUACAGUAGUGUACGUCAAUGUCUUUCUGUUUGGUCCAAUGAUUGCUGACUGCGGGGGGGAGGGGGGGGUGUUGAAGCUGUCAGUCAGGGAGGAGGUGGGAAUAAAGAAGCUGUGCAAGGGAGCCAAUUGGUUCUAGGCUCAAUGCUGUCAUGACACAGUGUGUGGGAUGGGCCUAUGCAUUUUACCGUAAGUCUGUUAUCUGAGAGGACUCAGCUGGAGUGUGUUGAUAGUUAGGACAGCUACCGUAUUUUAAUGUGCAGGUUCAUGUAAAAACAUUUGAACCAGAUGGACUUUGAAAUAGUGUUUUUUAUUUUAUUAUGAUUCCCUAAAAAAAAGUAAGUAUUUGGAGUUAAUAUUUAUUUUACCUUGGUUUUUAAAAUCACAAUGCACAUAGCCUCCAGUUUUCUUUGCUUUUAUUUCGACCCACAAAACAUUCAAAUGCUUUGAGUCAGAGAGUGGGUGGGUAAAACAUUUAAAUAGUACCUAUGUAUAAUAAAUAUUAAUUUAAUAUCAUUCAUGGUUACAAUUGUCAUGUUAGUGGAAUCCUCAGUCCAACAUGAUGCUGUGAUCCGGCUUGUACCAUCAGAGUCCAGGAUGGAGGACAUGGUCCUGAUGUGAAUAGACAGAUAUAAUAAAAGAGAGUGGAGGAGAAGGUUCAGGUCAUAUACAGUAUGUGUGUGGUAGUAAAGGGGCCAAUAAUAGAUGAGAGAAGAGGGGUGUCAAUGUAAGUUUUUGUAGCAGAAAGGUUACACAUGGUCAGCAAACCUCAAUGGACUCAUAGACUGUGGAUGGAAAUAAUGGUGGUGUUUUAUUGUUGUUUUUCAUGAGUAUCUUUUUAUGAAUGCAAUGCACUAAGUGUCAAGAAUGUAGAAAGAAAUAUACUGUGUGGUGGUCAAAGGCAUGAGAAUUUUAUUUUUGUUCCUUGUCACAAGUGAUCAAUUUCAAGUUGACACAAGUGAAUAUUAAACAAUGGAGGCUCUAAGGAAGAUGUCGGUUUUUGGGGCAAUUCUGAAUCGUUUCUGAGACUAGGUUGUGACUCCUUUCACAAACUCAAUGUUUUAACGCUUAAGCCCCGAUUCACUUGUUAAUGGAAGGCAAAUCAAAACAACUGUUUCAAAUCAGAGGAGAGCAGAGCAUGGGUGACAUCUGUGAUUCUACAGCUCUCUGAAGGUGUUCACCACAGAAACCCACUUUGGGAAGAUUAUUGUUUGUUGUUGUUCACUGUUAAAGAGUAUAGUCUGUACAUCUGAAGACUAUUCAAUACACUGCAAUAUUCCCUGCCAUGACUCUCUCACGACAGGGUAUCUGACCUGCCUAAACCAUGGAGACAAACAACAUGAAUAUUACUUUCCUGAGUAGGAUUACCCUACUCUUCCCAAGGAACAAAACUGUGUUUUAAUGGUGAUGAUGGAUCAAAGCUAUUUCACCCAAGGGGACAGAUUCUCUACCCUAACUGUGUGUCAGACUCCAUAGUGGGUCAAUCACUCUCUGAGUUGAGUCUUUCUCCAACUAACAGUCAUGCCAUUCAUUGUGUGUAGAGCUGUGGGAAAGGCACUGCAAAUUAUACAUCACAGAAUUGUUUCACAAGCCAACCUUUUUUAUAUAUGGAAAAAGAAACCUGUUUGAAAAGCGAACCCCAAUGCUGUAUGUGUGUGUGUUGAAUAGUCCCCCCUCUAUUAAUGGAAAGACGGACAACAAUUUCUUCCCAAUCUGAAAAGCAGUCACUUGCUGAUUUUUUGAUUUAUAAAAGUGCCAAUAUGGCAACAUUAAAAGUGUAAAAAGAAUGACGAAACCACUAUGUUGAUAAAUAUACUUUUUUAAGAUCUCACUUGAAGCAUUAAGUUUUAGACUUAGUUAAGAAGCUUAACAAUAGUUUAUGUACUUUGCAGUGGUUGAAUAUUAUAAGAGGCAAUGUUUUGUUACACUAAUGUGUAUCAUGAUAUUCAUUUUUUUAGCUUGUUUUAUAUUGAACAUGAUUUAUCAAUAAUCCUAAAUUAUGCCAUUUUUUUGUUUUUGUUUUUCUCAAACAACUCAAAACACAAUAAAGAAUACACAUGCAACAUUUGAUUUUCCAGAUGAUCCCAUAAUGUCGUUCCCAGCAUUGUGGGGACAUUGUAGUGACAAAGUCCGUUCCUUGCCGUCUUGGAUGUCAGUCAGGCUUGGGUGUUUUUCUCCAGUGUUUCUUCCAUGCUACUCUAACUUAUGUGCUCUCUGUGUAUGACAGGAAGUCUUGUAUUUUCCUGAAGGUCUUUUCUCUUUGAAUAAACUCUAAAGUAAUUUAA